UACGGAGGGGGCUAGCGUUGUUCGGAAUUACUGGGCGUAAAGCGCACGUAGGCGGCUUUACAAGUCAGGGGUGAAAGCCCGCGGCUCAACCGCGGAAUUGCCCUUGAGACUGUAUCGCUUGAACACGGGAGAGGUGAGUGGAAUUCCGAGUGUAGAGGUGAAAUUCGUAGAUAUUCGGAAGAACACCAGUGGCGAAGGCGGCUCACUGGACCGUAGUUGACGCUGAGGUGCGAAAGCGUGGGGAGCAAACAGGAUUAGAUACCCGAGUAGU
rnacentral:rRNA from 1 species